GACGAACGCUGGCGGCGUGCUUAACACAUGCAAGUCGAACGGAAAGGCCCCUUUUUGGGUACUCGAGUGGCGGACGGGUGAGUAACACGUGAGUAACCUGCCCUCGACUUCGGGAUAACUUCAGGAAACUGGGGCGAAUACCUGAUAGGAAUCCUUUCUGCAUGGUUGGGGUGGGAAGGCUUCGUGGGUUUUGGAGGGACGCGCGGCCUAUCAGCUUGUUGGUGGGGUAGUGGCUUACUAACGCUUUCACGGGUAGCCGGCCUGAGAGGGGGACCGGCCACAUUGGGACUGAGAUACGGGGCAGACUCCUACGGGAGGGAGAAGUGGGGAAUAUUGCACAAUGGGCGGAAGCCUGAUGCGGCGACGCGGCGUGCGGGAUGACGGGCUUCGGGUGGUAAACCGCUUUCAGCAGGGGCGAAGCUUGUGGUGACGGUAAAUGGAGAAGAAGCAACGGCUAAAUACGUG
rnacentral:rRNA from 1 species